AAGGCACGACAUUGCUCACAUUGCUUCCAGUGUUUUUUUAAGCCAGCUCGGGUGCUGGCUUUUUUUU
rnacentral:antisense_RNA from 1 species